GGGUAAGGAAGAUAGCCCCAGGGAACUGAAACAUACAAGUACCGGUAGGAAUAGCAAGCAAAUGCGACCUCCUGCGUAUCGGCGCGCGCAACGGAAUCUAGCCCAAACCAAGAGGCUUGCCUCUUGGGGUUGUAGGACAUUCUAUACGGAGAUACAAAGGAACGAGGGAGACGAAGCAGGCUGGAAAGGCGCGGGACAGAGGGUAACAACCAGGUAGACGAAACUUCGUUCGAUCUUGAAUGUAAACGGAGUACGGCGGAACAGGAGAAAUUCCGUUGGAAUCUGGGAGGACAAACUCCAAAGGCUAAAUACUACCUAGUGAUCGAUAGUGAACCAGGACCGUGA
rnacentral:rRNA from 1 species